rnacentral:snRNA from 1 species
AGCUUUGUGCAGUGGCAGUACUAUAGCCAAGGAGGUUUAUCCAAGGGACAAUUAUUGCUAAUUGAAAAAAUAAAACAAAGUCAUUUUAUUAUAUUUAUUUAUAGAAGGAGACACUGGCAAAUG